rnacentral:rRNA from 1 species
CGAAAGCCUGACGGAGCUAGACCGCGUGAGGGAAGAAGGCCCUUGGGUCGUAAACCUCUUUUCUCGGGGAAGACCCCCGACGGUACCCGAGGAAUCAGCCUCGGCUAACUCCGUGCCAGCAGCCGCGGUAAUACGGAGGAGGCAAGCGUUAUCCGGAAUUAUUGGGCGUAAAGCGUUCGCAGGUGGCUUUUCAAGUCCGCGGUUAAAGCCCGGGGCUCAACCCCGGUUCGGCCGUGGAAACUGAAAGGCUAGAGCGCGGCAGGGGUAGAGGGAAUUCCCAGUGUAGCGGUGAAAUGCGUGGAUAUCGGGAGGAACACCAGAGGCGAAGGCGGUUCUCUAGGCUAAUCCUGACACUGAGGCACGAAAGCUAGGGGAGCG